rnacentral:rRNA from 1 species
CCUACGGGUGGCAGCAGUGAGGAAUAUUGGUCAAUGGGCGGGAGCCUGAACCAGCCAAGCCGCGUGAGGGAAGAAGGUACUCCGUAUCGUAAACCUCUUUUGUCAGGGAACAAAGGCCGGGACUAGUCCCCGGAUGAGCGUCCCUGAAGAAAAAGCAUCGGCUAACUCCUUGCCAGCAGCCGCGGUAAUACGGAGGAUGCGAGCGUUAUCCGGAUUUAUUGGGUUUAAAGGGUGCGCAGUCGGACUGUUAGGUCAGCGGUAAAAGCCCGGGGCUCAACCCCGGCGAGCCGUUGAAACUGGAGGGCUGGAGUUAGAGAGAAGUACGUGGAAUGCGCGGUGUAGCGGUGAAAUGCUUAGAUAUUGCGAAGAACCCCGAUUGCGAAGGCAGCGUACCGGAUCCAAACUGACGCUGAGGCACGAAAGCGUGGGUAUCGAACAGGAUUAGAUACCCGGGUAGUC